rnacentral:rRNA from 1 species
GACGAACGCUGGCGGCGUGCUUAACACAUGCAAGUCGAACGGAAAGGCCCUGCUUUUGUGGGGUGCUCGAGUGGCGAACGGGUGAGUAACACGUGAGUAACCUGCCCUUGACUUUGGGAUAACUUCAGGAAACUGGGGCUAAUACCGGAUAGGAGCUCCUGCUGCAUGGUGGGGGUUGGAAAGUUUCGGCGGUUGGGGAUGGACUCGCGGCUUAUCAGCUUGUUGGUGGGGUAGUGGCUUACCAAGGCUUUGACGGGUAGCCGGCCUGAGAGGGUGACUGGCCACAUUGGGACUGAGAUACGGCCCAGACUCCUACGGGAGGCAGCAGUGGGGAAUAUUGCACAAUGGGCGGAAGCCUGAUGCAGCAACGCCGCGUGCGGGAUGACGGCCUUCGGGUUGUAAACCGCUUUCGCCUGUGACGAAGCGUGAGUGACGGUAAUGGGUAAAGAAGCACCGGCUAACUACGUGCCAGCAGCCGCGGUGAUACGUAGGGUGCGAGCGUUGUCCGGAUUUAUUGGGCGUANAGGGCUCGUAGGUGGUUGAUCGCGUCGGAAGUGUAAUCUUGGGGCUUAACCCUGAGCGUGCUUUCGAUACGGGUUGACUUGAGGAAAGUAGGGGGAGAAUGGAAUUCCUGGUGGAGCGGUGGAAUGCGCAGAUAUCAGGAGGAACACCAGUGGCGAAGGCGGUUCUCUGGGCCUUUCCUGACGCUGAGGAGCGAAAGCGUGGGGAGCGAACAGGCUUAGAUACCCUGGUAGUCCACGCUGUAAACGGUGGGUACUAGGUGUGGGGUCCAUUCCACGGGUUCCGUGCCGUAGCUAACGCUUUAAGUACCCCGCCUGGGGAGUACGGCCGCAAGGCUAAAACUCAAAGGAAUUGACGGGGCCCCGCACAAGCGGCGGAGCAUGCGGAUUAAUUCGAUGCAACGCGUAGAACCUUACCUGGGUUUGACAUGGAUCGGGAGUGCUCAGAGAUGGGUGUGCCUCUUUUGGGGUCGGUUCACAGGUGGUGCAUGGCUGUCGUCAGCUCGUGUCGUGAGAUGUUGGGUUAAGUCCCGCAACGAGCGCAACCCUUGUUCACUGUUGCCAGCACGUUAUGGUGGGGACUCAGUGGAGACCGCCGGGGUCAACUCGGAGGAAGGUGGGGAUGACGUCAAGUCAUCAUGCCCCUUAUGUCCAGGGCUUCACGCAUGCUACAAUGGCUGGUACAGAGAGUGGCGAGCCUGUGAGGGUGAGCGAAUCUCGGAAAGCCGGUCUCAGUUCGGAUUGGGGUCUGCAACUCGACCUCAUGAAGUCGGAGUCGCUAGUAAUCGCAGAUCAGCAACGCUGCGGUGAAUACGUUCCCGGGGCU